AAAAACACAAUUCCUGGGUUUCCGUGUCUAACAUUUGACCGUUCGUCUUAUUUAAAAAAAUUAUAAAAAAAUUUAAAAAGAUAAGUCAUGCAUAAAGUAUUAUUCAUGUUUUAUCAUCUAACAAUAAUAAAAAUACUUAUCAUAAAAAAAUUUUAUAUAACAUGAACGGUCAAACGUUGGAAACGGAAAUCCAAGAAUUGAGUCUUU
rfam:Oryza meridionalis cultivar OR44 (W2112) chromosome 4, whole genome shotgun sequence.